CCUGCCCCAGAGGCAUUGCAGGUGUGAGUGCUGUGUCAGGUGUGUGUCACAGGUGGCAGAGAGGAGAGAGGCUAUGUCUGUGCUCAGUGUUCCGACCUGUGAACAUCGUAAUGAUUAGUAGCCUAACAUU